rnacentral:rRNA from 1 species
GAUGAACGCUGGCGGCGUGCCUAACGCAUGCAAGUCGAGUGAGGACCGCCCGGUGGCAACACCGGGUUGGUGCCUAGCGGCGAACGGGUGAGUAACACGUGGGUAACCUGCCCCCGACACCGGGCUAAGCCUGGGAAACUGGGUCUAAUACCGGAUAUUGAGCCUCCUCCGCAUGGUGGGGGCUGGAAAGGGUCUCCGGUCGGGGAUGGGCCCGCGUCCUAUCAGCUUGUUGGUGGGGUAACGGCCUACCAAGGCGACGACGGGUAGCCGGCCUGAGAGGGUGUACGGCCACACUGGGACUGAGACACGGCCCAGACUCCUACGGGAGGCAGCAGCGGGGAAUAUUGCGCAAUGGGCGAAAGCCUGACGCAGCGACGCCGCGUGCGGGACGAAGGCCUUCGGGUUGUAAACCGCUUUCAGCAGGGACGAAGCGAAAGUGACGGUACCUGCAGAAGAAGGUCCGGCCAACUACGUGCCAGCCGCCGCAGUAAAAC